rnacentral:rRNA from 1 species
GACGAACGCUGGCGGCGUGCCUAAUACAUGCAAGUAGAACGCUGAAGGAGGAGCUUGCUUCUCUGGAUGAGUUGCGAACGGGUGAGUAACGCGUAGGUAACCUGCCUGGUAGCGGGGGAUAACUAUUGGAAACGAUAGCUAAUACCGCAUAAUAGCAGUUAUUGCAUGAUAACUGUUUGAAAGGUGCAAUUGCACCACUACCAGAUGGACCUGCGUUGUAUUAGCUAGUUGGUGGGGUAACGGCUCACCAAGGCGACGAUACAUAGCCGACCUGAGAGGGUGAUCGGCCACACUGGGCUUAAGACACGGCCCAGAAUCCUACGGAAGGCAGCAGUAGGGAAUCGUCGGCAAUGGACGGACGUCUGACCGAGCAACGCCGCGUGAGUGAAGAAGGUUUUCGGAUCGUAAAGCUCUGUUGUAAGAGAAGACCGAGUGUGAGAGUGGAAAGUUCACACUGUGACGGUAUCUUACCAGAAAGGGACGGCUAACUACGUG